CCGACGUGUUCAAGAGGAGGGAGAGGAGGAACGGGGGAACUCCAGCCCUUCUUUCCCGUUCCUCAUUUCCCUCCUCUUGAACAGGUGGGCC
rnacentral:pre_miRNA from 1 species